CCUACGGGAGGCAGCAGUGAGGAAUAUUGGUCAAUGGACGAGAGUCUGAACCAGCCAAGUAGCGUGAAGGAUGACUGCCCUAUGGGUUGUAAACUUCUUUUAUAAAGGAAUAAAACGAGGCACGUGUGCCUUUUUGCAUGUACUUUAUGAAUAAGGAUCGGCUAACUCCGUGCCAGCAGCCGCGGUAAUACGGAGGAUCCGAGCGUUAUCCGGAUUUAUUGGGUUUAAAGGGAGCGUAGAUGGGUUGUUAAGUCAGUUGUGAAAGUUUGCGGCUCAACCGUAAAAUUGCAAUUGAUACUGGCAGUCGUGAGUACAGUUGAGGUAGGCGGAAUUCGUGGUGUAGCGGUGAAAUGCUUAGAUAUCACGAAGAACCCCGAUUGCGAAGGCAGCUUACUAAACUGUGACUGACGUUGAUGCUCGAAAGUGUGGGUAUCAAACAGGAUUAGAUACCCCGGUAGUC
rnacentral:rRNA from 1 species